rnacentral:rRNA from 1 species
UACGUAGGGGUCGAGCGUUGUCCGGAGUUACUGGGCGUAAAGCGUGCGCAGGCGGCUCAUCGCGCUCGGCGUGAAAGCCCCCGGCUCAACCGGGGAGGGUCGUCGAGGACGGGUGGCGCUGAGGGUAUCAGGGGUUGGUGGAAUUCCCGGUGUAGUGGUGAAAUGCGUAGAGAUCGGGAGGAACACCCGUGGCGAAGGCGGCCAACUGGGAUACACCUGACGCUGAGGCACGAAGGCGUGGGGAGCGAACGGG